rnacentral:rRNA from 1 species
CCUACGGGAGGCAGCAGUGAGGAAUAUUGGUCAAUGGGCGCGAGCCUGAACCAGCAAAGUAGCGUGAAGGAUGACUGCCCUACGGGUUGUAAACUUCUUUUAUAAAGGAAUAAAGUGAGGCACGUGUGCCUUUUGGCAUGUACUUUAUGAAUAAGGAUAGGCUAACUCCGUGCAAGCAGCCGCGGUAAUACGGAGGUUCCGAGCGUUAUCAGGAUUUAUUGGGUUUAAAGGGAGCGUAGAUGGGUUGUUAAGUCAGUUGUGAAAGUUUGCGGCUCAACCGUAAAAUUGCAAUUGAUACUGGCAGUCUUGAGUACAUUAGAGGUAGGCGGAAUUCGUGGUGUAGCGGUGAAAUGCUUAGAUAUCACGAAGAACCCCGAUUGCGAAGGCAGCUUACUAAACUGUGACUGACAUUGAUGCUCGAAAGUGUGGGUAUCAAACAGGAUUAGAUACCCCUGUAGUC